rnacentral:lncRNA from 1 species
CAAAAGUUAUUAGAUUCAUACGAACCCAUACAUAAUGAUUUAGCAAUGUCUCUAAUUAGCAUCCCAGAAUUAAUUAUGGUAGAAUGGUAGAGGAUAUACACAACAAUGAAAUAAUACAUCUGAAUUUCAAUACCUAAUGAACUUACGAUGUAUUAGCCUCAAAAUAAAAAAUAAGAAAUGCCAAAAUCAAUCAUUAUUAACGAGUGAAUCAUAAUAAGUUUUAAGGGAAAGAUAUCGUCGAAGAUUUAGCCAGAAAAAUAGAUGAACUAAAAACCAAUAGCAUCAAUUACACAUACUAAUUUGGUCUUAGUGCCUAAAAAAGAUGUCGUCCAGAACUUUUCUGACUUAAGGUCAAUUAGUUUGAGCAAUUUCAUAAAUAAAGUGAUCUCUAGACUUCUACAUGAUAGGAUGGAGGAUCUUCUGCCUCAUAUUAUUUCUCAUAACCAAUCUGGGUUUGUGAAGGGAAGAAAUAUUACUGAGAAUAUAUUGCUAGCUUAGGAAAUCAUUACUGAUAUCAGAAAGAGAGGUAAACCAACCAAUGUGGUCGGUCCUGAAGCUUGAUAUGGCUAAGGCUUAUGACAGAGUGGACUGGAACUUCUUAAUUAAGGUUUUAGAGAAGAUGGGUUUUGAUGGACUAGCGGUGGACAAUAUCUGGAGGCUUGUGGCUAAUAAUUGGUACUCUGUACUAACUAAUGGACAUGCUCAAGUAUUCCAGUCACUAGGGGUGUUAAACAAGGAGAUUCUAUAUCCCCUGCUCUAUUCAUUUUAUCUGCUGAAGUAUUGUCUAAGGCUCUUAAUCAUUUGCUUUAUAACAAUGAUUUUAAGAGCUUUAGAAUGCCCAAAUGGAGUGACAAACUUAAUCAUUUGGCCUAUGCUGAUGAUACUAUCAUAUUUGUGAAUGCAGACAAGACUUCUCUACAACUAAUCAUGGAUGUGUUGGUACAAUAUGAGGGGCAAUCAGGUCAGAAAAUCAACAAAGAAAAAAGUUUCUUCUUUAUGUAUAACAAGGCUGCAAUUGUUGUUGUUCAGGAGGUUGAAAUAGUCACUGGUUUUCAGAAAGGUAAGUUUCCCUUAAUGUAAUUGAGAUGCCCAAUUGGACAUAAAAAGAAGAAGAAACAACAUUUUUCCGAUCUGAUGAAAAAGGUGCAGAAUAAGUUACAUGCUUGGAAAGGAAAAUUAUUGUCCUUUGGAGGUAAAACUGUUCUAAUAAAUCAUGUAUUGCAUAGCAUGCCCAUCUACUUAUUAGCUGCAACCAUGCCCCCAAAAUGUGUUAUUAAGGAUCUCCAUAGAACCUUUGCUAAGUUUUUAUGGAACUUUAAAGAAGAAGAAAGAUCAAAACAUUGGGUGUCAUGGUCCAAUAUAUGUCUUCCCAAAGAGGAGGGUGGACUGGGAUUUAGAUCUUUAUUUAAUGUCUCCAAGGCUUUAUUUGCAAAGCUACGGUGGAAUUUUAGGACCAAAAAGUCCAUUUGGGCUAACUUCUUAUGGAACAAGUAUUGCAAGAAGAAUAGACCUUAGAUGGUAGAAUGGAAGGGAGGGUCUCAAGUCUGGAAACAAAUGUUGUUGGCUAGAGAUAGCAUUGAUCAAGAGAUAUGGUGGGAGACCAAGUGUGGCUACUCUAGUAUCUGAUAUGACAAUUGGACUCAAGUAGCAGCCCUUCACUACUACUCCAUGUGAAUCAUCACUGUAAUGAGGCAUUUGAUAAAGUGAGUCAGUUAUUGAUUCUAGGCAACUGGAAUAAUGAAGUAAUGGUGGAGCUCUUUAAUGAACUCAUUGGGACAGUACAUGAACUUGAAGAUUGGGAUAAACCUUGGUGGAUACCCAACUCUACAAGAAAGUUUUAUGUAGUCAGUGCUUGGGAACUCAUGAGAGAAAGAAAAGAACCUCAGGAGUUGAUGAUGAACAUAUGGGGAAAGGGUAUUCCUUUUAAAGUAUCUUUCUUUCUAUGGAGAUUAUGAAAGUUAUGAAUUCCUAUUGGAGAAGUCUUGGUGAAGAUUAAGGUAGCAGAGGAGGUUAUUUGUUGUUGCUGCAACAGGAAUGCACAGGAAACCUUUCAACACUUAUUCAUGGAGUGUCCAGACUCUAACAGAAUAUGGAGCUGAUUUGCAGGUGUUGCCGGAGUGGAAGGACCAUUUCUACAAGUUAAAGACACAAUAAUUAAAUGGUGAAAAGCGAACUGUGUGGUUAAACUGAAACCUAUGUAUAAGGCAGUACCAUCUUUUAUCAUCUGACAAAUAUGGAAAAAGAGAAACAUGAUCAGAAAUGGUGGAAAAAUGUCUAGGCAUGCUAUGGAUAUGGAGAUUAACAGAAAUCUACAGAUGAUGGCUAAACUUAGAUACCCAUUGAUUCAGGAAAUCCCAAGUAUGUGGCCUAUGAUUGUGAAGUUGUUUGAAGAAUACACCCAUAGUAUAUCUUACCAAGUUAUCAAGUGGAAGUUUCCAGAGAGGGGAUAUUACAAAUGUAAUUCAGAUGGUGCCUGCAAAGGCAACCCCGGGCCUAGUGCUUGCGGAUUUUGUAUUAGAAAUUGAAGGGGAACUAGUUUUUGCAGAAGUUCAGAGAAUUUAAGAUAGCUCAAGCCUCAAAGCUGAGGCUAUGACGAUGAAACUAGGGCUUGAACACUGUAUAAACCAUAAUUUAGUACCAGUAGUAAUGGAAGCUGACUCUCUUACUCUCAAGAAAAUUGUAGAAGGAACAUGGGAGGUGCCUUGGGCAAUCGUGAAGGAGAUUAAGAGAAUCAAGUUCAUGUUGGCUAACCACUCUGCAAUAGUGUCACACACAGUCAGAGAAAGGAAAUCAAUUGGCAAAUUUUUUUACUAACUAUAUUUUCAGUUUUGCAGGUACUAACAAAUUUCAAUUCAACUCAACACAAGGGAUUCCAAAUAAAGCAAAAGGUAUAAUUCAGUUGGAAAAGGCUAAUGUCCCAAACUUGAGAUUUAAGAAGUGUCAAAAUCGAAGAACAUUUGGGCAGACAAGGUCAAAUAGCAGCAACAAUCAGAACCAAAUGGUAACACACAUUCAAGGGCAACCCCAACAACAUUUGCAAAUUCAAAACUAACGCACUGGGUGAUAAGUUGAAGAUGAGGACGUACAUGCUGUUCUGGAUCCCUCUACAGUGGUAUUAGCAUGUCGUUGCUCAUUCUGCAAAAAGGAGAAGGGACAAUUGGGAAAUCCGUCAAUUAGGAUUAGUACCAAAAUAGGAGUUAUUUGGAUCAUACAUUUUCUCUAGCUCUAAGACAUACCAAUUGUGAGCUGAAGAAGUCUUCCCUGAGUUCAAUUCAUGGUAUCAGUAAGAUCUUUUGAUACCCAAAUGAAAAUCGCUCAAGCUCUAUGAUUGUGUACUCCUAGAGUCGAUAAGGGGUAGAUCCUCUUGUGUGGAUGUAUGGUAUUGGUUGGAGAGUGCUCCGGUUUUGAUGCCACCGCCACAAAAGGAAUAGCUCCCUCGGAGCUCUUACAACUUUCCUAUUCUUGGCUAUU